CAUUAUAAUCGGCAACAAAAUGCACAGUAUUUCACCCAUACUUGGUCCUAAGACAGUGGAUGUGCUCACACGGGAAAAUCAGGGAAUAACUACAACACAAAAAGGCCCAUCAAUGCCAGUGAGACUCCAUCCUGUGUUGAUAAUAUACUAACUGGAGCACUGUGCCACAGGAAGCCUGACAUUCCCAUUUCUGCCCCAAACUAGACAAUUUCUAGAAGAAAUAUCAAGCAAUACAUUGUUUGCCUGCAAAGCCUGGGUCACCCUGUUGUCAAAUUACAAGAUUCAAGGACUGAAAACUUACCAUUUUUGCAAAUGGUGCAAGAGAUGCAGCAAGGAUUGAGUUUUUCAGGACCUGAGGCAUCUCUGAAUAACCAGUUUUUGAGUCGGACAAAUACAAUGUGAAGCCAAGAUGUUGAAGAUGCUUUCCCCUGGAAUGGGGAACCACUUAUGUUCUGCCACAGAGACUCCUGUGAUGUCAGGGAGGAGCAGGCAGCCAUGAAUCAGCAGUUCCCAACCUGGGCCUGGUGUAAGUCAUGGAAGCUGAUGCCAUCCACAAAGAGAUGUGGAUCAUCACAGACUUCUUUUGGAUGCUUAUUAGAGGUGCCUCCAUGCCUAAAGCGACGUUAUUAUCUCUAGACUCAGGGACUUUAAAAUGUCUGUUUUAUGCAUCUUCUAUUUUGUAGCUUGGUUUUAAUGCAGACAUACGUCUUUGCUUCUUGAUGUUGCACGUGGAGGUACCCUCACUCAUUGGUGGACCUGCCUGGCCUCGGCAUGUUUGCAAAUGUUGAAGCCUAAAAGACAUUUUCCCCACAGAAACCACAAGGUAAAUGUAACAAGUAAUCAAUCUUCUAAACAGCAGUCAGGAAACCUCUUAAUGAACAUCCUACACAAACACAAUAGUUAAUCUAAGCUAUGCCCUGAAUAGCAAUUAAUAUAAUCGGCUUCAAAUGUACUCAUUUUUUGACUGUCACAGUUAGGCUGUUAUACGCAGUAUAAACAUAUUGGUUUGAUUUGAAGACUACUAAUUUCAGUAGGGAAAGGCAACACAAACGCUUUACGCAGAUCAGGUUGGUUGUUCUUAUGUGUUCAGACUAAAGCAAAACACAGUGUCAAAGUAGAACAAAAAGGCUAUGUGCACUCAGAAAUUUUUUAAAAAACAAACAAACCCACCAAACCAAAUACAAAACACCCAGCAAACCCAGUCCUCCUUCCACAAAGCCUCACACAAGCAAUAGCGGUCUGCAAACAUUAAGUGUCAGAGAAAAAUAUAUGUUUGGGCACAGGUUCAAUUUAGGCAGUAUAAACUUAGCUCUCCUGGACGUGUUAUUCUGAGAACCACAAGCUGAUCCUCAGCCACCAUAAAUCAGCUUAGUGACACCUUACUCCUUUAGUCCAGUUGAAGAAAGAGAACGCAAUUUUUUUGAGACAGUAGUUAUCUUCGUUCUUUCAAUUGGUAAGUUAAAAAUUUUACAAAGUGAGUGAAUUUUGAAACUUUUACUCACCUCACAUUCAUGUUGGGCACUAAAAGCAGGCAGGAACAUUUUACUCCCCCAUGGGCAGGUUGGAGACACCUGUGCACAGUAACAUUUAUAUGGUGGCACUGCAGAGGUGUUUUUACAUAGUAGCAAAAGCAUUUUCCCUAAGGGUUAAAAUAUUGUGCCUAUCUUCCACACACUUCUAACAAAAAAUUUCUUUUAUACACCUUUUAUUUUUACAAAUCCUAACUAGUUAAGUUAAUGUUGGAAACGCCUAAAGAUAUGUGCCCAAAAACAAGCUUCUCCUAGGACAAACACAGGUGACUUACCGAUUUUCAGUACUAGAUCUAUAGAUGGAUGGGAUUGACUU